UACGGGGGGGGCAAGCGUUGUUCGGAAUUACUGGGCGUAAAGGGCUCGUAGGCGGCCAACUAAGUCAGACGUGAAAUCCCUCAGCUUAACUGGGGAACUGCGUCUGAUACUGGAUGGCUUGAGAUUGGGAGAGGGAUGCGGAAUUCCAGGUGUAGCGGUGAAAUGCGUAGAUAUCUGGAGGAACACCGGUGGCGAAGGCGGCAUCCUGGACCAACACUGACGCUGAGGAGCGAAAGCGUGGGGAGCGAACAGG
rnacentral:rRNA from 1 species